rnacentral:snoRNA from 1 species
AUCCCGUGGUGAGGGCAAGCCAAGAGAUACUCUUGGAAGUACUCCCAUGCUUCAGGAAUUGUCUUGUCUGAUUUUUGCUGGAAGUUGGAAAUUUUCCCACAAAGGGC